rnacentral:lncRNA from 1 species
CUUUCAUAGUUAGAUGAGUAGAAUAUGUAUUUGCAAAACAAUCUUUAUGUGACAAAAAAGCAAAAAUGAAUACAUCAUAAAGUGCAGGAAGUUCCUUGACGUGAUGUCACAGCUGAUGACCAAGUCAUGCUUAACUUGUGUAGACGCAAUAGCUGCCCUCUGUGAAAGAAAUAUUGAUUGAUACUAUUAGCAAUAAGGAUACUGUAUUAUACACUGAAUAUGUUGUAUUUCUUUUUUAAAGGUAAGCACUGAAAGACUCAGACUUUCAAUUCAGCUGAAUAGAAGUGAAGCCCUGAUUGAGUGGUUCAGCUCAGCACAAAGAACUAGAGCACAAUGAGGAGUUCUCCUUUGUUAGUAAUCCCGCAGCACCUCUCUUCAAGCUAUUUUGUUACUUGCCAGAGAGGAGCAGGCUCAGCAAGAAACUACGACAACAAACCAAAGCUGCUUUGCCUUUAAAAGUUCAUCUUCGCCUCGUCCAAGAGAAGCAGAAAGGUGACUGGGUCAGCCUGGAGGUAUAUCCACUCGAGAAGGUUUCCGUGUGAGCA